GACGAACGCUGGCGGCGUGCUUAACACAUGCAAGUCGAACGGAAAGGCCUCUUUCGGGGGGUACUCGAGUGGCGAACGGGUGAGUAACACGUGAGUAACCUGCCCUUGACUUUGGGAAAACUUCAGGAAACUGGGGCUAAUACCGGAUAGGAGCUCCUGCUGCAUGGUGGGGGUUGGAAAGUUUCGGCGGUUGGGGAUGGACUCGCGGCUUAUCAGCUUGUUGGUGGGGUAGUGGCUUACCAAGGCUUUGACGGGUAGCCGGCCUGAGAGGGUGACCGGCCACAUUGGGACUGAGAUACGGCCCAGACUCCUACGGGAGGCAGCAGUGGGGAAUAUUGCACAAUGGGUGGAAGCCUGAUGCAGCAACGCCGUGUGCGGGAUGACGGCCUUCGGGUUGUAAACCGCUUUCGCUCAUGACGAAGCUUUGUGUGACGGUAGUGGGUAAAGAAGCACCGGCUAACUACGUG
rnacentral:rRNA from 1 species